rnacentral:lncRNA from 1 species
GCAAACUCUUUCUAUCCCUAUGCAUGCAUACGCAUCAACUGGUCUGUUGCUGUGUUCAGGCAGAGUACAUCUUGAUGAUACCUGAUAACCUUUAUGGGCAUCGGCACUUUCUGUAAGCAAGGCAACAGUUUCUUCUUUCAGAGUCAUGCCUUCUCUCUGGUGCCUUUUGUUGACCUGUCUUAUUAUCUUCUAAUACUAACCAUGAAAUAUUACCUGGACCUGUUGCUCUAUUGAUAAGCCUUCUUAUGUACUGGAACUUUCAAG